CCGGGGCAUAUUGUUUCCCCUGAAUGUGUGCUGCUGCGCCCUCUUCCUCUUGCCCAUAUAUGGAAGAUGCUGUGACAGAGCGCAGCUGGCUUGUUAGGGAGACAGGUGAUCAGCAUUUGCAUUUAAAAGCAGGUAGAUCGCUGAGAUGAUCAGAUGCAGGCUGAGAACUUGUGCACAGGAAACGCACUUUAGAGAGUGACGUCAAGAGCAACAUUUACUGGUUUCACUGUAGAGAAGGUAAGGGCCGUUUCUUAUGAUUCAUCUGGCUGGUUAAUGUUCUUGUCUAACUUGAUUUCUUUUGUGUGUAGGUUGGCCUGCUACUGUUUCAGUUUUUGAUUUGUUUUGAUUUCAAUUUUUCUUUUGUUUCAGUUUACUUAUUUUUAGAUGUUUAUUGUUGAUUAAAAAUAACUUUUCUUUUUUUGGGGGGUUUGUUUAGGGAAAGGGACUUUCUAUUUUAGCCCGCUGACUUGUUUUAAACUGGGACCUAUGCUGUCCCUGGGUCCUAGGCUGUUUUAUUUAGAUUGAGGAGACUAGUGGAAGGGGAGUUUCUUUGUUUCUUUUCCUUUGUAUUCACUAGGGAUUUUUGUGUGAGUGUGCUUUUGUUGGGGAGCACUUAGGUGUAUUUGGUUAUACUUUUGUUUUCUUAUUAUUCCUCCCCCAAACAGUCAAAAUUUUAUCUAGUUUUUAAUUUUUCAGCUUUAAGGAUCCCAGGGCCAGCAUAGACUUCCGCCUUUAGUGUGGUCAUUUGGUAUAAUAAAAUAAGUUGACUAUUAUUGCACAUGAAACAUUUGUGAAUUCAAUAAACUGUUUGUAAUCUGCA